AAAGUCGUAACAAGGUUUCCGUAGGUGAACCUGCGGAAGGAUCAUUACAGAGAACAUGCCCUCCAGGGUAGAUCUCCCACCCUAUGUUUACCUUAUCUUUGUUGCUUUAGCGGGCCCGUCUCACGACCGCCGGCUCCGGCUGGUCAGUGCCCGCUAGAGGACCCAAACUCUUAAUUUUAGCGUCGUCUGAGAACUAUAAAAUAGUUUAAAACUUUCAACAACGGAUCUCUUGGUUCUG
rnacentral:misc_RNA from 1 species